GCCGGCGGCCGCGGAACCCCAGCCAGGGCUCCAGCGCUUGCUUCGCUGCUCCAAAGAUGCUGUGCCGUGCGGGCGGCUCCUCCGUGCAGUUGACUUGAAGGGCUCAAGGACUCCACGGUCCCUAGCAGGAGGCUAGGUCCUGGGGACACCCCUCUUCCCUCCCAGACCCACCUGGCAGAAAGACUUCAGAUUAUCAACCCAGUUGUCACGUUAACUCGGUUUAUGGAAUUCAACUCCCACCGCCAUCCCAAGGCUGCAAAUUUCUCGCCCCACCACAUCGAGUGCUGGCCGCUUCAUUCAUUGUGAUUUUCUAUGUUCCUGCCCUGGACUAACAGCCCUUCCCGUAUAUCUUAGCUAAGUCUUAUAACAACCCUCCGAGGUAGGUGUGGUCAUCCCCAUAUUACAGAUGCAAAGUAACUUGCCCGGUCUUACAGCUUAUAGAUGGGCACUGCUGGGUUUGGAGCCCAAGUCCAUUUUGACCCCAGAGCCCUAAAUCUUUAUUGCUGUUCUUUACAUAACAAGAAUAAGAAUAGCUAAUACUUAUUGACCAAUUACUACCUGCCAGGCACUGGGCAAAGUAUUUCUCCAAACUACUCUCACAGGCAGCUCUGCCACUUACCACUCAAGCAAGUUUCUUAACCUCUUUUUGACUCAAUUCCCUGUCUGCAAAAUGAGGCUAAAAAUGCGGCUGUUGUGUAGAGUAAAUGAAUUAACAUAUAUAAAACACUUAGAACACAGACUGGCACAUAUAUAAUCCCUCAAAAUUUUCUCUUUUUUUUUUUUCACCAUCACAAGUUUCUCACCCAGGCUUGGAGAGGGUAAGCAACUAAGGAGUCCGGACGGCCCAGGGCUCACCCUGCAGCACAGACCUGCUCAGGAGUCGUGCGGGAUGCGGGCCUGCCGCAGGUGAGUCGCAUCGGGCAGGUGGCAGACGUGCUUUUCGGGCUUUGCUGCAGAGCGCGCCGCAGCCCGGAGGCCUCGAAGGGUCCCUCGCGGACAUGCAAGUCUGGGGGCCGCCUCGCUCCGCAUUUGGGUGUGCAAGGGCCCCGGCGGUGUGGGGGGUGCCGCUGGAGCCCCUCAAAAGCACUGCGGGCGACACCAGUGCGCCGGGGCGGGCUGCCCUGCGGGCGGGGAGCCGUGGGGCGCGGGGGCACCCUGCCG
rnacentral:lncRNA from 1 species